rnacentral:lncRNA from 1 species
GACAAACGAGAGAUACAAGAUCAUGGCAGUUCUCUCUUCUUCCACCGGACAUUGCUGUGUCUGCCUAAAAUGUCGAAUUGGCAACAGCCAUUUUGUAACCACGGGACACAGAGCAAAGUCCGCAGAGCAGAAAGGUGGAAGGAUCCUGGAUUCCUGGUGAGGUUGAAGCACUCAAAAGGUGGGUCUUGGUCCCCUCCGCUUGAACCCGGAUGGACUUUUGUGAUGACCUCAACCACUGGGUGUGGUGGAAGUGGCUGCAUGAGUUCUGAGGCUUGGUCAUUAAAAGUGAUAUGGCCGGGCGCGGUGGCUCACACCUGUAAUCCCAGUACUUUGGGAGGCCGAGGUGGGCAGAUCACUUGAGGUUAGGAGUUCGAGAUCAGCCUGGCCAACAGAGUGAAACUUUGUCUCUAAUAAAAAUACAAAAAUUAGCCAGAUGUGGUGGCACACGCCUGUAAUCCCAGCUACCUCAGAGGCUGAGGCAGGAGAAUCGCUUGGGCUGGGAGGCGGAGGUUGCAGUGAGCCGAGAUUGCACCACUGCUCUCCAGCCUGGGCGACAGAGUGAGUGAGACUCUGUCUCAAAAAAAAAAAAAGUGAUAUGGCCUCUCCUUGGAUCUCUCUUGGGACACACUCAGGGGACCCCCUCAUGAACUGCAGGAAAGACGUCUGGCUUUCCUGAAGCCACCAUGCUGAAAUGAACACACAAGCAGGAGAGCGACGCCCGAGGAGGACCAGCUGUUUGAGUCUGCCCAGCCCAGGUGUCAGACUGUAAAUGAAGACGGCAGCCAGAUGACACUGCCAGCCACCAGCCCCUCUGACUGCACCCUCCAAGAGAUCCAGAGCUCAAACCGCCCUGGGGAGCCACUCCCGAGAUCUUACCCCCAGAAACCAUGAGGUAGAGAAUGAUUCUUGUUGCUUUAAUCCUCCAAGUUUGGGGGGUGAUUUGUUGUGUAGUCAGAGAUAACGAAUACGCCACCUUCAUUCUGAGCAUUCAUCAUAUGAAGUAAUACGUCUUCCUUAUUGCUUAAGCCAGAGGUCGGUGAAAAUUUUCUGUAAAGGGCAGACAUUAAAUAUAAUUUUAGGCUUUCCAGAUCACAUGGUCUCUAUUGCAAUGACUCAGCUUGCCGUUGUUGCAUGAAAGCAGCCAUCGGCAAUAGAAAUGGGUGGGCGUAACUGCAUUCCUAUAGACCUUCAUUAACAAAAACAAGGAGCCAGACCAUAAGCAGCAGUUUGUUGACCCCUGGUUAAAGCCAUUUUUGAGUUAAGUUUUCUGUUACUUGCAGCCCAAAACAUACUGUUACAACUAUCCAAUCAGAGAGCUCCAGGCAAAGGGCAACCACAAGAGGCUCUAGGGUGUGUGCAUAGUUCUCUGGGGUGUGUGCCUGGGCUCUGGGGUGUGUGCAUAGUUCUCUGGGGUGUGUGCCUGGGCUCUGAGGUGUGUGUGAGCUCUGAGGUGUGUGCAUAGUUCUCGGGGGUGUGUGCAUCGUUCUCUGGGGUGUGUUCUUGGGCUCUGGGGUGUAUGCCUGGGCUCUGGAGUGUGUGCACAGGUCUGAAAAUGUGUGUAGAAGUCAGGAUGUGUACACAGGUCUGAGUGUGUUGUGUGGGCUCUAUGGUGUGUGCCAAGAUCUGGGGUGUGCAUGGGUUCUGGGGGUGUAUGUGUGAGCCCUAGCAUUAUGCGAAUGGGCUCUGGGAUGUAUGCACAGGUCUGAGUGUGUGCAUGAGCACACAGGUCUGAGUGUAUGUGUGAGAGCUCUGGGGGUGUGUGCAUGAGCUCUGGGGGUAUGUACAGGUCGGGAUGGGUGUGUAUGAGCUCUGGGGGGGUGUGCACAGGUCUGGGUGUGUGUGUUUCUGUGUGUGUGUGAGCUCUGGAAGUGUGUGCAUAGGCUCUGGGGUGUAUGCAUAAGCACACAGGUCUGGGUGUGGGUGUGUGAGCUCUCGGGGUAUGGGCACGGGUUCUGGGGAUGCAUGCCUGAGCCCUGAGCGGGCCCCACUCACCCACCAUCUUAUCUACUGAGACAAGAAGGGCUGGGCUGUUCGUUCAUGAAGUCUCCUGGGCAUCUCUUAUCAUGUGAUCCCCAGCCUCUGCGUCCUCCUCCUCCUCACAGGCUCCAGGAUCUCUGGAAUCCAACUCACUGGACGCCCAGCCAGUCAGGCAGGCAGGGAGUGUGGAGGCCUCCCCUCAAGUAAGGACCUAAUGGCUAAAGCUGGGCAUGGGACAGGCCUGUGCAAAGAGAGGAGAGGGAGGAAGGACCAGGGUGUGCUGGAAGCGUAUCCUCCCUCUCCCCGGCCUCUCUCCUCCCACCUCAGAUGGGCCUGGAGGAGAUUAGCUUCACUCACGGCAGUAAUUGUUUGCUGAGUGCUUGCUGUGUUUUAAGCUCAGCAUUUACAAGCAGGUGACAUGGAGAACUCUAGGUGCUGGACAUGCUGUUAGCCCCAUUUCAUGGACGAGGGAAUGGGCGAACAGAGAGGGAAGUCACUGUCCUGGGGACCCACAAUAGGAGGCAGGAUGCCCACCCAGGCUGGCUGUCCCCACGCCAAGAUCUAGGAUGAGUCCUCAGUCAAAGCCAGAGCAGACCCAACGGAACCGCUCAGCCCCCUGACAAGGCAAUGAGUCUCGCCGGCCAGGGGGGCUCUGCCCCCGCCCCCACCCAGGUGGGUCCCCUGCCCCCAGGCUGGCAAGGUGCUGGGGGGCUGAUGCCGGAGCCCCUGCUGCUUGCCGCCUGCCUGCUCAUCUUGUUUGUUCCAAUUAUGUCAAUGGCCAGUGAUGUUCCAGCAGGUGGCUGGGUCCUGCUGUGAGGACAACAUGGAGCAGAGCCCAGGCUUACCUACAAUGGACAUGCAGUGUGAGUGACAAGAAACCUCUGUGUGCUGAGCUGUUGAAAUCGCCAGGUUGUUUGUUACCACAGUAUAACCUGGCCUAUCCUGACCAUUGCAGGCUCCCUUGCCUACACUUGGUAAGGGAUUGCCUCCAAGAACCACAUCAGCGUGGACCAUGAGCGUAGGCAGAUGAGGUGCAUGCGAACUGCUUAGCCAGCAGCUGCCACAGUGGAAGGUCUAUGUCAUUGCUGCUGCUGCAUGCUCGUUGUGGCUGUGAUUGUCAUCAGCAAAGACCAGCAACAACAAAAGGCCACAGAAGCCCUUACCAUACAUUCUAGAAGGCUUAAGUCUACUCUGGUCAUUUCAACCUUGGGCAGAGAAGGUGGCCUCUUGGAACCUCUCUGAGAUUUCAUUCUCUCACCAGGUGGGUGAGAGGACAGCAAAGAGCCAUGUUACGAAAUUCAAUGAAAGGCUCAUUUCCUACCCCUGGGGAAAGCAGCAAAGCCAGGCUGACACCAAGGAGUUCUAAACAGAGGAGGGCCUGACUUGCUGGCCGGGUGGGCAGAGGAAGACAGGGAGCCCAGUGAUAACGCCUGGCUGGAGGUGGAGCCACGGUUGCCAGGGUACUUGUGCUGUGUAAGGAAUCCCUCAAAACAUUAGGGCGCCCAGCAGCCAUCGUAUUACGCUCACAGAUCCUAUGGCUCAGAAUCACACAAGGCACAGCACAGAUGUCUUGUCUCUAUUCCAGGAUGCCAGGGCCUUCUGGAAGUGCCUGUUUGGCAGUUGGAGCUGGCUGGGGGCUGGGACGUAUCUGGACUGUCUGCCACAACACCAACCCACAGCCCCCUUUCGGGCUACUUGGACUUCCUCACAACAUGGCGGCCCUGGGCAGUCAGAUGCUUACACAGCAUCUCAGGGCUAUAGCACGAAGGCACCUGCAUCACCUUCUGUGACCUAGCCUUGGAGGCCACGCAGCGUCUCUUCUGCCACAUUCUAUUAGUUGUGAGUGAGUCAUGAACGUGCUCAGAUUCAGGAGGGAGAGAACAUAAACCCCACUCUCCAGCAGUGGGAGGUAAAGGUCAUAUGGGAAGAAUAUCUUGUGGGAUGGGAGAAAUUGCAGAGGCUGUCUCUGGAAAAUGCCAUCUGUUACAAGGGACUUAGACCACCCCCGUCCCACCUCUCCUCCAGGCCUGGGUCCUUCCCAUGGCCACCUGCUGACCACUGGGGACUUCUGUGUCAUCCCUCCAGCUCUGAAGAUUCCUCUCAGUGAACUUCUUAGCUAAGCCUGCCAGCCCACAGCCUUCUCUCGUGUCCUGCCUGGCGAGGGGUCUGGCUGGUGUUGAAGGCAGCCCCAGGGCCUCACCUCACACUGCACAAUGACCCACGGUGCCCUGGACAAGAGGCUGCCCUUGGCAUUCCAGGCAAAAAGUCGCUUCCCUGAAAUGUUCUCCAGUGGGAAGCUAAGAGCGUGCCUGCCUCCCAUCCUGACCUCCUGCCCCUUCAGAAGCGUCCCUGCAGCUCCUGCCUGCACCUGGCAGGGAGCACCGCUACAGAGUUUGCUGCUGUACCGGCUCAGAAACGGGAGUUCCCGGCACAGGGCCAUCGGCGAGCCUCCCAGCUGGAGUGUGGGCAGAGGCAGACACUGGGGCUGCAGGGGAGUGGCCCCCAGGGUGUGAAUAGGAGGGCAUCCUGCAGGCUCCAGACAUUGCCAUGCGUGUUGCUGUGAUUAACCCCCAAACCCAGCUCCAUCAUUCAUUCACUCCUUCAUUUGUUCAUCCUAUUGUCCCAGGAGCUGGGCUAUAACAGAAAGGAGACAGGCCACAGACAGACAGGCAAGGCCAUCCCAGGCAGUGAGAGGCGACGUGAACUCUGUGAACUGAGAUGAUGAGGAAGAGAGGAGAAGGGCGGGGCCGCUUUAGAAAGGCUGCUGGGGAUGUCCUGUUUGAGGAGGUGACCCUGUCACUGGAGCCAAGCCAAGAGCUGGGGAAGAGCAUGUCAGGCCCCAAGAACUGCAGGUGCAAAGGCCCUGAGGCAGGACCCUAGCAGGACCCUAGCAGGUGCAGGUGCAGGUGCAAAGGUCCUAAGGCAGGACCUGAGCAGGUGCAGGUGCAAAGGCCCUGAGGCAGGACCUGAGCAGAUGCAGGUGCAAAGGCCCUGAGGCGGGACCUGAGCAGGUACGGGUGCAAAGGCCCUGAGGCAGGACCCGAGCAGGCAUGUCUGAGGGUCAUAGGAAGCCUGUGUGCCUGGAGCAGAGGGUACAAGCCCAACGUGGAGCUUGUGCAUGGCUCUCCACUGCCUCCCAACUCAGUCCAGGGGCUUCUGCUCGGCUUUCAAUGCCCUCCACUGUGGGGGCCCUGCCACACCUCCCCAUUCUCUGGGGGCCCCAGGAUUUCCCACAUCCUUGUUUUUUCCCAUAUUGCAUUAGGAUUUGACUUUAUUAUUUAAACAAGAAGCAGAGGCCCCCACUCCUUAGGGCGGAAACGUUGCUCAGAAUCACAUCCUGGAGGAUGGAGUGAAAGGGAUGUUGGUCUUAGAAGCCCUAAGAGAAGACGGCACAGAGUGGCUGGACUGGGGGUGGGGGUGGAAGAGACUGAGGAAGGCCAGGUGGACAAGGCGGGGUGGGGCCCACAGUCCUCAUUGCCACAGGGCUUUGCCAUCUUGCCAAGGAGCCAACUUGCCCUGAUUCCACGGAGCAGGCCACUGGGACUUCCCACUUCUGUGGGGGCGCUGCGACUGCCUCCAAGAUCCUCCCCAAAUCUCUCUGGGCCUCAGUGAGGUGCCUGGGGAAUGGAUUUAAGAUUGGUGGCCCAGUUUCCGGACAGCUGGGAGAUGAGCUCAGCCUUACUAAUGUGAUCGAAGUUGCCAACCCCUGCCCCGCACAUCCUCAGGGGACCCUAGGCUGCUGGCCACCAGCAAGGUUGUCUUGUCUGUUUGAUCUUCGAUUCCUGAGGGUAGUGGGCACCUCGGUAGGUGAUCCUGCCCAAAUCCCGCCUCCGCUUGUCCUCUUGGCAGGGCGGCCUCCCUCCCGCAUACCACAGCCUUCCUGCAAUGCUGCGACUCGGGUUCAUUCCAGGGGAUCCUUGAGCGCUGGCGGCACAGAGGGGCCAACCUUGAACUCAGCAAAGAGGAAUGCUUGACUCCUCUCCAGCUGGAAGGCUGUACCUGGGCUAAGAACUGAUGAGCCUGCUUGAAGGAAACACUCCGUGCUUUUGUUAAAGGGGAAGGGAAAAUAAAAUCCCAAAUCAACCUUGGAUCAAUGUCUCUUCCCCAGACGGCAGCCCAAGGCCUCUGCGGCCUCUGCAUCAGUCAGCUGGGAAAGCGGCACAGCCCCUGGGACUGUGGCUGGGCCAGCCAGCCUCCACCCAGACAGAGCCCGCAGCAGGCCGUUGAUUCACCGUUCCCCAGCAAAAGCGUCAUCCUGAGUCCCAUGGAAGAGACUGGUUAAUCUCUUACUGUGUAAUUAAUCUCUUACUGUGUACCAGGCACAUGCAUACAUCCCAUAACGCAUUCAGCCUCACACCAUCUACUUUACAAAGCACAUAGCACUACUGUCUUCAUCUGGCAGUUAGCAAACCUGUGGCCCAGAGGGGUGGACCAAUUUACUCAUAGCCACAUAGCUGUCAGGAGCUGAGAUACAAGCCCAGGCGUGGUGGAUCCAAAGCCUCUUGUCCUGGCUGGGCAUAAUGGCUCACACCUGUAAUCUCAGCACUUUGAGAGCCUGAGGCAGGAGGAUUGCUUAAGGCCUGGAAUGUAAUAUCAGCCUGGGCAACAUAGCAAGACCCUGUCUUUAUAGAAAAAAUUUUAAAAAUUGGCCAGGCAUGGUGGUGUGCCUGUGGGCCUGGCUACUUGAGAGGCCGAGGCGGGAGGACUGCUGGAGUCCAGGAGUCUGAGGCUGCAGGGAGCUGUGACUGCGCCAGUGCACUCCAGCCAGGGUGAAAGAGUGAUGCCCUAUCUCAAGAAAAAAAAAAAAAGCUCUUGUCCCAAACCCUAUAUCACCAGGUCCGUAGAAGCAGGAGUGUAUUGAAUCCAUUAGGGAGGCACUUGGCUACAAGUAACAAAAACCUUGGCUCACAGUGGCUUAAAGCAUAAGGUCAUUCAUUGUUUAUUUCGGAGGACAUUGAGAAGCAGGCAUAGCCCAGGUGGGUUCACUAGUUCCUCAGUGUCAGGAUACAGGGCUGGCAUCUCUGCAAUUCUCUUAGCCUUCUCCUCAUGGUGGCACCAUGGCUGCCACAGCUGCAGACAUCACUUCAUCCCACAAUGACAUCCAAAGGCAGGAAGGAAGGUGAGGUGGGAAGGAGGCAAAAGGGACCAAACCUCUCUUCCUGUAACCUUCUCAUUUUCUAGUGAGACCUUUUUCCCAGGAGCCGCCAGCAUACUUCCCUCACGUUUCUGGCCAGAAGUGGAUCACAGGCCUUCCCCGGAUUACUCAGGCCCAGAGGGUGCAAUGUGGUCCCCACUACAUGGUAGACAGGAUUUGAACUAAACAACAGUUCGCUGGAGUGGAAAAUAAAGGAUGCUACAUUUUCUUAUUGUGAUAAAAAAUAUAUAUCAUAAAAUUUACCAUUUUAACAAUUUGUAAGUAUACAGGUUGGUAGCAUUAAGGACAGUCACAUUGUUGUGCAACCACUACCAUCCAUUUCCAGAAUUUUUUCAUCUUCCCAAACUGAAACUCUGUCUCCAUUAAACACCAACUCUCCACCUGGCUCCUGCCAGCCCCUGGCUCCCACCAUUCUACUUUCUGUAUCUGUGGAUUUGACUAUUCUAAGGUUGGACUAGUCCAACCUGUACAUAAAUUGAAUCAUACAGUAUUUGUCCCUUUGUGGCUGGCUUAUUUCACUCAGCACAGUGUCCUCAAGGCUCAUCCAUGUUGUGGCCCGUGUCAGAAUAUCCUUCCUUUUUCAAGGCU